rnacentral:antisense_RNA from 1 species
AUUCUCUUCUUUUUGCAGUAAACGGUUUUCUUGUUUUUGCAGUUCAAUUCUUCGUUCUUUUACCUCACGCUCAGCUUCAGUACGAAGCUUGUGAAUUUCAUCCUUUGCCUCAAGCAAAGCUUCUUUCUUUAAUGCAUCUGCUUGACGCCUGGCAUCCUCCAGGAUCUGUUCAGCAGC